rnacentral:lncRNA from 1 species
UUCCAGCGGUGACGACCUACCCAGGAGAACAUGCCUCUCACAAAGGAUCUCCUUCAUCCCUCUCCAGAAUAGGGGAAGAGGAAACACAAGAAGCAGUGCCUGAUGCAGAGCCCCAAUUCCUACUUCAUGGGUGUAAAUGCCCAGGAUGGUACAAAAUCAUCACAGUCUUUAGCCAUGCACUAACAGAAAUUUUGUGUGUUGGCUGCUCCACUGUCCUCUGCCAGCCUACAGAAAGAAAAGCAAGGCUUACAGAAGGAUGUUCCUUCAGGAGGAAGCAGCAUUAAAAAGCACUCCGAAUCAAGAUGAGUGGGAAAUCAUCUCAAUAAACACUUUUU